rnacentral:rRNA from 1 species
UGGGGAAUAUUGCACAAUGGGGGAAACCCUGAUGCAGCGACGCCGCGUGAGCGAAGAAGGCUUUCGAGUCGUAAAGCUCUGUCCUAUGAGAAGAUAAUGACGGUAUCAUAGGAGGAAGCCCUGGCUAAAUACGUGCCAGCAGCCGCGGUAAUACGUAUGGGGCGAGCGUUGUCCGGAAUUAUUGGGCGUAAAGGGUACGUAGGUGGUUUUUUAAGUCAGGUGUCAAAGCGUGGAGCUUAACUCCAUUAAGCACUUGAAACUGAAAGACUUGAGUGAAGGAGAGGAAAGUGGAAUUCCUAGUGUAGCGGUGAAAUGCGUAGAUAUUAGGAGGAAUACCGGUGGCGAAGGCGACUUUCUGGACUUUUACUGACGCUGAGGCACGAAAGCGUGGGUAGCAAACAGG